AAACGCCGAAUUGUGCGCCUGAGAGAUAAAUUUGGUAGCAGAUCUUCCACUCUACACCUGCUAGAAGAGCAUUUUGGGCACUUCGCCUUUUCUAGAAGAACCAGACGAAUGCAUUUCUCACAAAAACUGAGCUGGCAGCAAGGUAUCAUUACAGCAUCCUUCAUGAAGAUUCUACAGAGAGGGCAUCUCAGUACGUCCGGUAAAACCUUACUGCGAAAAGCUGGAAAGUUGGAGCGUAUCGCCCUUGGACCUAAGGGGUAAUCUUUCUCAAAGUCCCAGCAGUUCUGCUGAUCAAAUCCUACAUCAUUCUUGGGAAAUAUUCCCUCAUCCAGCGGAAAAAAAUCAGCCCUAAAGUCA
rnacentral:misc_RNA from 1 species